rnacentral:rRNA from 1 species
CUAGAUGACGCUGGCGGCGUGCCUAAUACAUGCAAGUCGAACGCACAGCGAAAGGUGCUUGCACCUUUCAAGUGAGUGGCGAACGGGUGAGUAACACGUGGACAACCUGCCUCAAGGCUGGGGAUAACAUUUGGAAACAGAUGCUAAUACCGAAUAAAACUUAGUGUCGCAUGACAAAAAGUUAAAAGGCGCUUCGGCGUCACCUAGAGAUGGAUCCGCGGUGCAUUAGUUAGUUGGUGGGGUAAAGGCCUACCAAGACAAUGAUGCAUAGCCGAGUUGAGAGACUGAUCGGCCACAUUGGGACUGAGACACGGCCCAAACUCCUACGGGAGGCUGCAGUAGGGAAUCUUCCACAAUGGGCGAAAGCCUGAUGGAGCAACGCCGCGUGUGUGAUGAAGGCUUUCGGGUCGUAAAGCACUGUUGUAUGGGAAGAACAGCUAGAAUAGGAAAUGAUUUUAGUUUGACGGUACCAUACCAGAAAGGGACGGCUAAAUACGUGCCAGCAGCCGCGGUAAUACGUAUGUCCCGAGCGUUAUCCGGAUUUAUUGGGCGUAAAGCGAGCGCAGACGGUUUAUUAAGUCUGAUGUGAAAGCCCGGAGCUCAACUCCGGAAUGGCAUUGGAAACUGGUUAACUUGAGUGCAGUAGAGGUAAGUGGAACUCCAUGUGUAGCGGUGGAAUGCGUAGAUAUAUGGAAGAACACCAGUGGCGAAGGCGGCUUACUGGACUGCAACUGACGUUGAGGCUCGAAAGUGUGGGUAGCAAACAGGAUUAGAUACCCUGGUAGUCCACACCGUAAACGAUGAACACUAGGUGUUAGGAGGUUUCCGCCUCUUAGUGCCGAAGCUAACGCAUUAAGUGUUCCGCCUGGGGAGUACGACCGCAAGGUUGAAACUCAAAGGAAUUGACGGGAACCCGCACAAGCGGUGGAGCAUGUGGUUUAAUUCGAAGCAACGCGAGACCUUACCCGGUCUUGACCUCUUUGAGCUUUAGA